UACGAAGGGUGCAAGCGUUACUCGGAAUCACUGGGCGUAAAGGGUGCGUAGGCGGGGCUUUAAGUCAGGGGUGAAAUCCUGGAGCUCAACUCCAGAACUGCCUUUGAUACUGAGGAUCUUGAGUUCGGGAGAGGUGAGUGGAACUGCGAGUGUAGAGGUGAAAUUCGUAGAUAUUCGCAAGAACACCAGUGGCGAAGGCGGCUCACUGGCCCGAUACUGACGCUGAGGCACGAAAGCGUGGGGAGCAAACAGG
rnacentral:rRNA from 1 species